GUGUCAGCAGCCGCGGUAAAACGUAGGGGACAAGCGUUAUCCGGAUUUACUGGGCGUAAAGCGCCCGUAGGCGGCCUGGCAAGUUGGACGUGAAAGCUCCUGGCUUAACUGGGAGAGGCCGUUCAAAACUGACAAGCUAGAGUCUGGAAGAGGAGCGUGGAAUUCCCGGUGUAGUGGUGGAAUGCGUAGAGAUCGGGAGGAACACCAGUGGCGAAAGCGACGCUCUGGUCCAAAACUGACGCUGAGGGGCGAAAGCGUGGGGAGCGAACGGGAUUAGAUACCCGAGUAGUCC
rnacentral:rRNA from 1 species